UACAGAGGUCUCAAGCGUUGUUCGGAUUCAUUGGGCGUAAAGGGUGCGUAGGUGGCUGGGUAAGUCGGGUGUGAAAUCCCGGGGCUCAACCCCGGAACUGCACUCGAUACUGCCCUGCUCGAGUACUGGAGAGGAGACUGGAAUUUACGGUGUAGCAGUGAAAUGCGUAGAUAUCGUAAGGAAGACCAGUGGCGAAGGCGAGUCUCUGGACAGUUACUGACACUGAGGCACGAAGGCCAGGGGAGCAAACGGG
rnacentral:rRNA from 1 species